CCCUCCGGCGUGUGACGGUGUCGGCGGCGCUGCGGGCCGGGAUGGCCCCGGCGGGGCGGGGAAGGAGAGCGGCCGCCAUUCCCGCUUAAGGCCAUCCCUGUUUGUCUUUUCACCCCAGUCUUUUGUGAGAAGUCCCUCUCCAGGGACAGGGGUGCACAGGGAAGAGCUGGGGAAUCGUGGGACCACCCCAGGAGUGACAGAGAGGUGUUAGGUUUGCCAAGCUUUAACUGCUUGGAAGAAGUUUCCUGUCCUGGGUGUUGCUUCAGGCUGAUUUUUUAUUCUUUAAACCUCUCCUGUCUUUUUUUUUCUUUCUUCUGUUUUAAGUGGAAAUAACAUGGAGAAUUUGGGGGGUUUUUUGGAAGGGUAAUAUUUUGGUCAGGGAAAUUUAUAAGCAACUUCAAGUUUCAAAGGCUGAAAACAGCAGCUAAAAAAUAUUUCUUGCUUAAAUUGUCACAAGAAAGAACUUUUUGUUGUCUUUUUUAUGUUGCUUUUCAAGGCAGUGAAAUUGAUACGUAAUAAAUUAUAGUAAAUACGCCAACUCUGUGGUAUUAAUUUUUACCCAGAUUCCAGAUUCUGAGCAUCACCUUCUUAGCCAAAGGGACAACAAUACAAG